rnacentral:lncRNA from 1 species
AUGCAGGGUGGAAGGGACAGGGGGCAGAGAUGUCUUCCAAACCUGGUAUUGAGGAAAAGGACCACAGGACUACCUCAGGAAAGAAGAUACAACUUGGGAGAAGAUACAAACUUGGGAGGGAUCUUUCUUGCAAGUGAAAUAUUAGAAGCUAGUGAAAUCAUUCCAGUGCACCCACGCCAAGUGGGUGGAAGAGGUAUGUGAAAAUUAAAUGUAUUAUUUGGAAGCUUCUCUGGAUGCUUCUUGCUUUCCUGGGGGAAGGAAGGACCUAGAACUGUUUGAUUGUAUUGGGUUUUUUCCCACCUUAAUUGGCUUCAAUAAGCUUUAUGAACCAUUUCUGUCCAAGCAGUGUUCUAACACAUGUUCAAAA